AGUGAACGCUGGCGGUAGGCCUAACACAUGCAAGUCGAACGGCAGCACAGUAAGAGCUUGCUCUUACGGGUGGCGAGUGGCGGACGGGUGAGGAAUACAUCGGAAUCUACUUUUUCGUGGGGGAUAACGUAGGGAAACUUACGCUAAUACCGCAUACGACCUACGGGUGAAAGCAGGGGAUCUUCGGACCUUGCGCGAUUGAAUGAGCCGAUGUCGGAUUAGCUAGUUGGCGGGGUAAAGGCCCACCAAGGCGACGAUCCGUAGCUGGUCUGAGAGGAUGAUCAGCCACACUGGAACUGAGACACGGUCCAGACUCCUACGGGAGGCAGCAGUGGGGAAUAUUGGACAAUGGGCGCAAGCCUGAUGCAGCCAUACCGCGUGGGUGAAGAAGGCCUUCGGGUUGUAAAGCCCUUUUGUUGGGAAAGAAAAGCAGCAGGUUAAUACCCCGCUGUUCUGACGGUACCCAAAGAAUAAGCAACGGCUAACUUCGUG
rnacentral:rRNA from 1 species